rnacentral:rRNA from 1 species
CGCCUGAUGCAGCGACGCCUCGUGAGGGAUGAAGGCCUUCGGGUUGUAAACCUCUUUCAGCAGGGAAGAAGCGCAAGUGACGGUACCUGCAGAAGAAGCGCCGGCUAACUACGUGCCAGCAGCCGCGGUAAUACGUAGGGCGCAAGCGUUGUCCGGAAUUAUUGGGCGUAAAGAGCUCGUAGGCGGUCUGUCGCGUCUGGUGUGAAAACUCGAGGCUCAACCUCGAGCUUGCAUCGGGUACGGGCAGACUAGAGUGCGGUAGGGGAGACUGGAAUUCCUGGUGUAGCGGUGGAAUGCGCAGAUAUCAGGAGGAACACCGAUGGCGAAGGCAGGUCUCUGGGCCGCAACUGACGCUGAGGAGCGAAAGCAUGGGGAGCGAACAGGAUUAGAUACCCUGGUAGUCCAUGCCGUAAACGUUGGGCACUAGGUGUGGGGCUCAUUCCACGAGUUCCGUGCCGCAGCAAACGCAUUAAGUGCCCCGCCUGGGGAGUACGGCCGCAAGGCUAAAACUCAAAGGAAUUGACGGGGGCCCGCACAAGCGGCGGAGCAUGCGGAUUAAUUCGAUGCAACGCGAA